rnacentral:rRNA from 1 species
GCUAGGAUGAACGCUAGCGGCAGGCUUAACACAUGCAAGUCGAGGGGCAUCGGGAGUAGCAAUACUGCCGGCGACCGGCGCAAGGGUGCGUAACGCGUGAGCAACAUGCCCGUAUCAGGGGGAUAAUCCAUGGAAACGUGGUCUAAUACCCCAUAGUAAUUAUGUAAGGCAUCUUAUAUAAUUUAAAGCUUUGGUGGAUACGGAUUGGCUCGCGUGACAUUAGCUGGAUGGUAAGGUAACGGCUUACCAUGGCUACGAUGUCUAGGGGUUCUGAGAGGAAGGUCCCCCCACACUGGAACUGAGACACGGUCCAGACUCCUACGGGAGGCAGCAGUGAGGAAUAUUGGACAAUGGAUGGAAAUCUGAUCCAGCCAUGCCGCGUGCAGGAAAGACGGCCCUAUGGGUUGUAAACUGCUUUUGUAUGGGAGCAAUAAGGGCUACGUGUAGUCCGAUGAGAGUACCAUACGAAUAAGCACCGGCUAACUCCGUGCCAGCCGCUGC